UGCAGGACAUACGAGCCAUCUUGUCCAAACGGAGAGAGGGGGAGGAGCUUAUAAAGGAGAUGGAGGAAGGGUGCAUCAGCUACAAUUCACGAAAAUUGAUAGUGAACACAUUGGUCUCACACCUGAUAGAGACAUAUACAAAGUGGCCUAAAACAGAGCAAAAAUUGGCAAUGGCAAAAUGCAUUGUUACCCAGUUUCCUGCGUUGGACAAUGAUGAUCAUGAUGCUUACUUGACCUGGUUCACUCCAGCAAGCCAAAACAAAACAAAAGAUUCAUCAGGUUACAUUGAAAUGCGGCUAAGGAACGUCAGAUAUCGUGAUC